AGCUGAUGUACUAGGGCUUUCAGAAACAGAGAAGGAAAUAGAGAGAGAUGGGGAGAGAGUGUCACGGCUGUUUGAAUGAUCGGACCAACGAGCAGCAUGGUUGUGGUUCCACAUAUUUAUUAAACGUGAAACUGACUGCAAUACACUUAAAUACUUGAAAAUACAAAAACAACAAACCGUGACGCAGAGAGGAAAACACACUACUCAAAAGAUAAUCACCCACAAAAACAGGUCCCAGUUGUAAAUGAGAACUUGUUCUCAACUGGCCUACCUGGUUAAAUAAAGGUGAAAAAAGCCCUUGUUUUUCAAGUUUUGCCAGUUUUGCCCACUCUCCCUGGCCUGACCCUGAGC
rnacentral:lncRNA from 1 species